GAAGAACUUGAAAAUCACUUGUACAGACUUGGUUUGGAGCAUUGCUUGCCAAACAGCUCCAAAACCUUCUUUCUCCAAGAGAUCUCUUCAGGCUGAACAGGAGGAAGGGUGAUAGACCUUGGGAAGUCUCUGGACACGCCAUGUUUGUAGUCUUCUUCCUCUUGAAGAGAUUGAACAGCUGGCUGGACAGAAACUCUCCAAUGAUUUGAAAUAACAAUGAGGGUGAGCCUAUGCUUGAAUUGUGGAAGCUUUGAGUUUCAGAUACUAAAGACCUCCUUUAUCUUGAGUUCUGGUGAGUCUCUUCCCUCCUGGAAAAGCUUUAGACCAGAGGAUACAAGGAUGAACAGAAACAGAGAUUUUUGAAGAGAAGUAUGAACUGUAACAGAUUUGCGGAAGCUCUAUGGAUUCUCAGGAGCUUGGAGCUCUGAUACCAUGUGAGAAUAGACAGAUUAUGGUGUGUGAGUGUUGUUUAGAACAGAGAGUGGUCGGAUUGAAAGAGAACAGAGUGAAGACAGUAAGUGAGAAUUAAAGAGACUGCAAUGGAGAAUAAGAGAGAUUAAGUGAGAUUUGAGAGAGUAUGAGAGAGAUUCUUGUAACCAGAGAUUAGGAGAGUAUAAGAGACUUGAGAAUGGUGAAGA
rnacentral:lncRNA from 1 species